rnacentral:tRNA from 1 species
GUUUCCGUAGUGUAGUGGUCAUCACGUUUGCCUCCCACACGUGAAAGGUCCUUGGUUCGAAACCGGGUGGAAACG